AAAACCAGCCGUUCAUUUGGAAAAAAGGGUGUGGCACUUCGUUAACCAGUUCCAUUCUGUUCAUCAAAUGAUAUUUUUAUAUAAAAGCAACUUUCUACAUUGAUUGAUUGGAGCCUGCCAUAUCACUUACGAUAGCUUUUACGUGAAACUUCCGCAUUGCCCAAUUCACAAUUCGGAGCAAGUUUCAGUUCCUUUCCCUUUUGCAUAGAAACAAACUGCUCAACCCAAUAUUUUGAAAUCUAAGGUAUUCGAACACAUCAGGGAGUGUUAUACCUUUCUUUAAAAACGCACUUCGCAAGUUCUUUAUGAGAUGUGGAACAUCCGCAAGAAAAAUCAGCCGUUCAUUUGGAAAAAAGGGUGUGGCACUUCGUUAACCAGUUCCAUUCUGUUCAUCCAAUGAUAUUUUUAUAUAAAAGCAACUUUCUACAUUGUUUGAUUGGAGCCUGCCAUAUCACUUACGAUAGCUUUUACGUGAAACUUCCGCUUGCCCAAUUCACAAACUAUGCUUUGUACAAUAAUAGGCCACAAUUGCAGUCCUUGCACCAAAUUUCCCGUUUAAUAGUAAGCUACAGAAACAACUGAUUUAGUCGCAAUCUGGAGAGACAUUCACCAACCUACAACUUGUUUCCAUUUUGUGGUAAUUCCCUUGGCCAUAAAACAUAGAACAUGGGUUGCUGGGUGAAUUGUGGUGGUUUCCUUUUUUUAUCUACAAAUUCGGGGCUGACCUUUCCAACAAACUGAUUAUUGAGUGCUACAUCAUACUGCAUGGAAUUGGAAAUUUGAACUUCAUCCAGAAUUAAGGUACACAUGCGUUCUUGGUCUUCAGCAUGGCACAUUUUUAUUUCCAUCCAAUCCAGCAUGGUGGUUUGUAUGCCAGGAAACAUCUUGACAUUGACUAUCCGACGGCAAACAGUUCGAAAACUGGGCAGUGGAUACCUAAGUUUUCUUAAAAAGUCAUAUCUGGAAGUGUGUAAACAAACAAGCUGUUAAUCCCGAGAGUGCAAGAGUUGUAUUUAUUAAAACUGCUUUCUUACCCUUGAACUCCGGUUGCACACCUUGAACUGCUCCUUGACAGUUUCAUCGGACCAAGCAGAUACCACUUUCCUUGAUGACCUUUUUAACAUGCUA